AACGAACGCUGGCGGCAGGCUUAACACCUGCAAGUCGAGCGCCCCGCAAGGGGAGCGGCAGACGGGUGAGUAACACGUGGGAAUCUACCCAUCCCUGCGGAACAACUCCGGGAAACUGGAGCUAAUACCGCAUACGCCCUUCGGGGGAAAGAUUUAUCGGGGAUGGAUGAGCCCGCGUUGGAUUAGCUAGUUGGUGGGGUAAAGGCCUACCAAGGCGACGAUCCAUAGCUGGUCUGAGAGGAUGAUCAGCCACAUUGGGACUGAGACACGGCCCAAACUCCUACGGGAGGCAGCAGUGGGGAAUAUUGGACAAUGGGCGCAAGCCUGAUCCAGCCAUGCCGCGUGAGUGAUGAAGGCCUUAGGGUUGUAAAGCUCUUUCACCGAUGAAGAUAAUGACGGUAGUCGGAGAAGAAGCCCCGGCUAACUUCGUGCCAGCCGCCGCAGUAA
rnacentral:rRNA from 1 species